GAUGAACGCUGGCGGCGUGCCUAAUACAUGCAAGUCGAGCGAACAGACGAGGAGCUUGCUCCUCUGACGUUAGCGGCGGACGGGUGAGUAACACGUGGAUAACCUACCUAUAAGACUGGGAUAACUUCGGGAAACCGGAGCUAAUACCGGAUAAUAUAUUGAACCGCAUGGUUCAAUAGUGAAAGACGGUUUUGCUGUCACUUAUAGAUGGAUCCGCGCCGCAUUAGCUAGUUGGUAAGGUAACGGCUUACCAAGGCAACGAUGCGUAGCCGACCUGAGAGGGUGAUCGGCCACACUGGAACUGAGACACGGUCCAGACUCCUACGGGAGGCAGCAGUAGGGAAUCUUCCGCAAAGGGCGAAAGCCUGACGGAGCAAGGCCGCGUGAGUGAUGAAGGUCUUCGGAUCGUAAAACUCUGUUAUUAGGGAAGAACAAAUGUGUAAGUAACUAUGCACGUCUUGACGGUACCUAAUCAGAAAGCCACGGCUAACUACGUG
rnacentral:rRNA from 1 species